rnacentral:rRNA from 1 species
GAUGGAGGAUUUAAACUUUGCUGUAGUUUUUCCUGGAGCUAAUGAAAGUUUCUCGCGUCGAGUCCAAACUAAGAGUUUUUUGCUUUCAGAAUUGCAUUCUCAACACAGGUCCAUUGUCUUCCUCCACCAGUUAAUUUACUUGGGUUAUCUCACUUUCUCCAUAACCUGCAGUUGUAAUGCGAUGUCUUGCGUUUUGUCAGGCAGAUGAGCUAAGAACUAACUUACCCACCAUAAAUGAUGCAACAAAAGAGGUACAAUGUUGUAUUAUCUCUUUCUUCAGCAAAUUUUUAACUUGUAUGUAUUCUUAUACAUUGACUGGUUUAAUGUUUCAUUUUGGGCAGGUGAAAAGAGUCACUCGAGUUACAGCAGAUAAUGCAGACCAGUCUCACAUUAGGGAAUGCAUUGAAUCAAUGAACAGCUCAAGGUAUCAAAUCAUUAUAGAAAACUUGCAUGGGAUGCCUUU